UCUCUCUCUCUCUCUCUCUCGGUCCCAUGUCUUUGUUGCUCUCUCCUGGUUGGUUUGGUGCCUAUAUUUAGAGGGCAAUAGCUGGGGGUGCAAGUCCAACCCCACAUUCUCCUCCUUCCACUCUGAAAAUCCCACACACACAAGAAAAAAAGAAAAAGAAAACCCCACAAAGUAUUAGGCUUUACCCCUUUAAAUCCCUAAGUUUAACCCUCUGGAGUCUGGUUUGCUUGUUUUAUGCCCAUUCAAAUGGGUCUUCCUCUAUGCCUGUGGGGCUUUGAAACUCCAUUUUGAUUAUGACCCAGUUCCCAUCAUUAUCCCAUUUUUCGCUCCCCUCUUCUCUCUCCUCAAUAUAUGACCCUCUCUCUCUCUCUCUCUCUCUCUCUCUCUCUCUCUCUUCUCUCUCUUCUCUCUCAAUCUCCACCACUGCAACCUCUCCUUGUCUUACCCUCUAUAGCCAUGGCAAAGCUUCUCCGAUCUAGCUUUCCCUACAAAAUCUUUUUCACUCCAAGUCCAUGCAUAAUUUGCUCUCCCUCAAAAACCCAUGUCGCAUACAAAAUAACUCAUUUUUAUAGCAUACAUAUGCAUAGUAUUCAUAUUCAAGGAGGGUAGGAUGUUGGGUUAGCAUUAGAUUAGGUUUUAGGAUUGAAUAUUUUCUAAAAACCCUAGCUGGUAGAUAUGUAAGAAAUACCUCAUCAAUUGACCCAUGUAGGUUUUGUUAAUUAGUGGCAUAUAUUUAUAGCUAGCUAGCAUGAUUCACGCAUGCAUACAUAUGCAUAUAUGUAUAUAUAUGUGCCUGGCUCCCUGUAUGCCAUUUGCAGAGUCCCACCGAACAUCGAUGGCCUCUGUGGAUGGCGUAUGAGGAGCCAAGCAUAUAAAACCCAUGUCCAUGCCUGCGUCUCGUCAUCUUGUUCUAUUUCUUCAUCCUCUUCAAUUUUGCAGAUAGUUUCAAAGCUUUAGUUUUUUCUCAUUUCCAAAGAUUUUAGCUAGAACUAGCUAGCUAGGGUAUUAUGGUCAUGUUGGGUAAUUAUAAUCAUAUUCCACAGGGGCAGCAUUGUAAUUUACAAAGUAUGGAGGCUGAUGUUUCUGAUCUGUAAAGUUAACUAGUGGAUCAGUGAGCUCAUUUUCCCAUCUGCGCUAUACAAUGAACGAACGUAUAGAGGAGAAGAAAAGAGAAUAUAAGUUUAGGCUCAUCUGCCUUGUAUGUAUCCAGCUACUCUCUCUAUCUCUAUCUCUAUCUCUAUCUCUCUCUCUCUCUCUCUCUCUCACUCUCAAAAGUUGUAAACCCAAAGAGUAACACAAGACACAAACAAAUGUACGACUGACCGGGGCCUGAAGAAAGAAAUGUAUGCAUGUAGGAUACAGGAAAAGCAAAAGUGUUUUCUGCAGCAGGGAGGAUUAUCAUAAUGCUAUUAGCUGGGAGUCUGGGAAUCUGGGAAUCUCAUACAUACUGCAAGCACUGGUGACUGGACCACUUAUCUCUCCUCCUCCCCUCUCUCUUGUGAAAAUAUAUAGCCUUAAGGGGGAUGGGUUUUUAUUUACUUUUAAAAAUGGAAGUGUUGUGGGGCCUACACCACAUUGAACUUUAACGAUUUAAACCAUUUAUUUUU